CUGCUUCUCCCACAAUCCGGGAUAUCUUUAUUCAUUCCAUCCCAUUGGCCUUGGGCGAUACAAACUUUCUUUUUCUAACGAACUAGCAAUUACAUGUGGACUUUCAGAGUAGAGAAACAGUGGGUUAUAACAUUGUAUCUGUUCCAGUCUGCGGUUCCAAAAUUGGAGAAGUACACUCAACCCUGCCUUCCCCCUGGCCUCUGGUCCCUGAGCCCCAGAAAUGGCCAAAGAAAGAAACAGCCAAGGAUCUUGAGAAACUGUUCCUUGAAGUCAAGAUCACACACGUCACCCAAACAUGACCUUGAUCCACAGCAGACUGCCCCUUUUUCUGGAAAAUGACAGAUCCCGGAGUCAGGUGUGUAGCUCAAGCGUUUGCCUUG
rnacentral:lncRNA from 1 species